rnacentral:rRNA from 1 species
CUUGGUCAUUUAGAGGAAGUAAAAGUCGUAACAAGGUUUCCGUAGGUGAACCUGCGGAAGGAUCAUUAAUGAGAACAUGUCCUCUAGGACAUAUCUCCCACCCUGUGUUUAUAAUACUAUUGUUGCUUUGGCGGGCCCGUUUCACAACCACCGGCUUUAGCUGGUCAGUGCCCGCCAGAGGACCCUAAAAACCAUUUAUCAUGUUGUCUGAGUCCAUUAAAAAUAAUUAAAACUUUCAACAACGGAUCUCUUGGUUCUGGCAUCGAUGAAGAACGCAGCGAAAUGCGAUAAGUAAUGUGAAUUGCAGAAUUCAGUGAAUCAUCGAAUCUUUGAACGCACAUUGCACCCUCUGGUAUUCCGGGGGGUAUGCCUGUUCGAGCGUCAUUACAACCCUCAAGCUCUGCUUGGUAUUAGGUGCAACCCACUGGGUGCACCAUAAAAAUAUUGGCGGUAGCACUCAGCUUCUAGCGUAGUACAUCUCUCACUAUGGAGCCUGAGCUGACACCUGCCAGAACCCUAAAUAUAUCAAGGUUGACCUCGGAUCAGGUAGGGAUACCCGCUGAACUUAAGCAUAUCAAUAAGCGGAGGAAAAGAAACCAACAGGGAUUACCUCAGUAACGGCGAGUGAAGCGGUAACAGCUCAAAUUUGAAAUCUGGCUCUUUCAGGGUCCGAGUUGUAAUUUGUAGAAGAUGCUUCGGGUGUGGCUCCGGUCUAAGUUCCUUGGAACAGGACGUCAUAGAGGGUGAGAAUCCCGUAUGUGACUGGCUGCCUCCGCCCAUGUGAAGCUCUUUCGACGAGUCGAGUUGUUUGGGAAUGCAGCUCAAAAUGGGUGGUAAAUUUCAUCUAAAGCUAAAUAUUGGCCAGAGACCGAUAGCGCACAAGUAGAGUGAUCGAAAGAUGAAAAGCACUUUGGAAAGAGAGUUAAACAGUACGUGAAAUUGUUGAAAGGGAAGCGCUUGCAAUCAGACUUGCGUGCUGCCGAUCAUCCGGGGUUCUCCCCGGUGCACUCGGUUGCAUUCAGGCCAGCAUCGGUUUGGGUGGUUGGAUAAAGGCCUUGGGAAUGUAGCUUCUUUCGGGGAGUGUUAUAGCCCUCGGUGCAAUGCAGCCUAUCCGGACCGAGGACCGCGCUUCGGCUAGGAUGCUGGCGUAAUGGUUGUAAGCGACCCGUCUUGAAACACGGACC